GAGAGGACGCCAUGGAGGGGAUGACGCCAUGGAUGUGAGGACGACUUGGAGGACGCAGCUCCACCACCACCCCGACGCCAUCUCCGAGCCCCCUCCUGAUACAUCUCCUGCGAGUUUGAUGGAGGGUCAAGGACCGCACGCACAGUGGAGUAUCCAGAACGCCCAGGCCAGCCACGGUGUGAGGUAAUGAAACUAGUCCUCAUGUUGCCAAUAGUCGAAAACUCGCUCACACUAUAUGCAAUUGUAUGGAAUAGAAGAUCUUUCCUUUAGAAGCUAGUACUUGAUGAGCUCCAACCUCUCUUUCAAGCCCUUGCAAAUUUGAUUUGAAGUAUUGGUUCAGCGUUUGUGUGAAAUUUGUUUGUCAUUGUGCCUUUUGAUGCUUGCUUC